AGACCCUUUGCCACCUUGACCAGGGCUGAGUCCUUAAAUUUCUGGAUGAUGAUGAUUACUAUUUAAGAGCCAGAGGCUGGUAGAGCUGGUUUGUUUGGAGGAGGCCUCAUGGCCUCCCUACUCUCACCGAAGCAACUUUUCCCUCAGGGGGCUCCCAUCUUCUUAUUCAGAGAGGCAGCUGAGGCGGGACAGUGGGGCUAACUGUAGAGCAGGCGAGGGCACAGGCUGCUGGGGUGGACCCCCUUCCGCAGUGUACAUAUAGUAUCUGUGUGACAUUUUGUAUAUUCCAGGGGGUAGGGCCACCCCCUGUAUUGUACCUAGAGGAGGUUGGAGCUGGCAUAUGAGGAGGAGGUUCUAAUCAUUAUUUGUGGCUGGGAAACUUAUUUAUUGAUAGCAUAGGACAGAGGAAGGAGGCGGGGAUGGGGUUGUGGCUCCCUGGUGAUGUGACUCCCGUUUAUUUUGCUUUUCAUUUUGGAGUAAAUGGAUUUAGCCAUA
rnacentral:lncRNA from 1 species